ACUCCGGUAGUCGCCGGUUUGCCGCAGGCCUCCCGGGUAACCUACCACCCUUUGUUUAUUACACUUUGUUGCUUUGGCAAGCCUGCCCUCGGGCUGCUGGCUCCGGCCGGCGAGCGCUUGCCAGAGGACCUAAACUCUGUUUGUUUAUACUGUCUGAGUACUAUAUAAUAGUUAAAACUUUCAACAACGGAUCUCUUGGUUCUGGCAUCGAUGAAGAACGCAGCGAAAUGCGAUAAGUAAUGUGAAUUGCAGAAUUCAGUGAAUCAUCGAAUCUUUGAACGCACAUUGCGCCCCCUGGUAUUCCGGGGGGCAUGCCUGUCCGAGCGUCAUUACAACCCUCAAGCUCAGCUUGGUGUUGGGCCCCGCCGUCCCGGCGGGCCCUAAAGUCAGUGGCGGUGCCGUCCGGCUCCGAGCGUAGUAAUUCUUCUCGCUCUGGAGGUCCGGUCGUGUGCUCGCCAGCAACCCCCAAUUUUUUCAGGUUGACCUCGGAUCAGGUAGGGAUACCCGCUGAACUUAAGCAUAUCAAUAAGCCGGAGGAA
rnacentral:rRNA from 1 species